rnacentral:rRNA from 1 species
GAUGAACGCUGGCGGCGUGCCUAAUACAUGCAAGUCGAGCGAACAGAUGAGGAGCUUGCUCCUCUGACGUUAGCGGCGGACGGGUGAGUAACACGUGGAUAACCUACCUAUAAGACUGGGAUAACUACGGGAAACCGGAGCUAAUACCGGAUAAUAUAUUGAACCGCAUGGUUCAAUAGUGAAAGACGGUUUUGCUGUCACUUAUAGCUGGAUCCGCGCCGCAUUAGCUAGUUGGUAAGGUAACGGCUUACCAAGGCAACGAUGCGUAGCCGACCUGAGAGGGUGAUCGGCCACACUGGAACUGAGACACGGUCCAGACUCCUACGGGAGGCAGCAGUAGGGAAUCUUCCGCAAUGGGCGAAAGCCUGACGGAGCAACGCCGCGUGAGUGAUGAAGGUCUUCGGAUCGUAAAACUCUGUUAUUAGGGAAGAACAAAUGUGUAAGUAACUAUGCACGUCUUGACGGUACCUAAUCAGAAAGCCACGGCUAACUACGUG